rnacentral:rRNA from 1 species
UAGGGAAUCUUCCACAAUGGGCGAAAGCCUGAUGGAGCAACGCCGCGUGUGUGAUGAAGGGUUUCGGCUCGUAAAACACUGUGUAAGAGAAGAAUGACAUUGAGAGUAACUGUUCAAUGUGUGACGGUAUCUUACCAGAAAGGAACGGCUAAAUACGUGCCAG